GUACACGCUGUGACUAGCAUAUCAAUAAGCGGAGGAAAAGAAACUAACAAGGAUUCCCCUAGUAACGGCGAGUGAAGCGGGAAGAGCUCAAAUUUGAAAUCUUAAAGGGUUUCCCUUUACGAAUUGUAGUUUAAAGAAGUGUUUUCUGUUGAGGUUUUGGUAAGAGUUCUUUGGAAUAGGACAUCAUAGAGGGUGAGAAUCCCGUAUUUGACCUUUACUUUCAACUUUGUGAUGACACUUUCAAAGAGUCGGAUUGUUUGGGAAUGCAGUCCAAAACUGGGUGGUAAAUUUCAUCUAAAGCUAAAUAUUGGCGAGAGACCGAUAGCGAACAAGUACCGUGAGGGAAAGAUGAAAAGAACUUUGAAAAGAGAGUUAAACAGUACGUGAAAUUGUCAAAAGGGAAGCGUUUGACACCAGUGUUGUUUCUCUGAAAAUCAAUUAAAGAACUGUUUAUGCUAAGCUGUUUAGACUUUAUCAGCUAAUCUGUUUAGUUUUAGAGCUUUUCUUUAAUGCACUUUUCAGUUAACAAGUCAACAUCAAUUUCCUUUUGCUGUAAAAAAGCUUGAGGAAGGUGGCUUGAGAUUCGUCUUAAGUGUUUAUAGCCUCUUGCCUAUGCAGUCGGAGAGAUUGAGGUCUGCAGCGUAGAUCCUUCGGGGCUAAGUGCAUUUGUGCUAAGUUAUAGCAUUUUAUAGACAACUUGUUGACUAUGAUUUGUCUUGUAGCUUACUCGCUUAUGUUAUUUUACCUACGCUUAGGAUGUUGAAGAUGUAGCACAUCAU
rnacentral:rRNA from 1 species